GACGUAGGGCGCGAGCGUUGUCCGGAUUUAUUGGGCGUAAAGAGCUCGUAGGCGGCUUGUCGCGUCGACUGUGAAAUCCCGCGGCUCAACUGCGGGUCUGCAGUCGAUACGGGCAGGCUAGAGUUCGGUAGGGGAGACUGGAAUUCCUGGUGUAGGCGGUGAAAUGCGCAGAUAUCAGGAGGAACACCGAUGGCGAAGGCAGGUCUCUGG
rnacentral:rRNA from 1 species